rnacentral:RNase_P_RNA from 1 species
GGAGUCGGCCAGGCAGGUCGCAGGAGGUUGCCGCUUCGGUGGCGUUCCGCCUGAGGAAAGUCCGGGCUCCACAGGACGAGGCGCCAGGUAACGCCUGGGGGGCGCGAGCCUACGGAAAGUGCAGCAGAGAGCAGACCGCCUGCGUGCCUUCGGGCACGUCGGUAAGGGUGAAAGGGUGCGGUAAGAGCGCACCGCACGCGUGGUAACACGGCGUGGCUAGGUAAACCCCGCCUGGAGCAAGGCCAAAUAGGAAUCCCAUGGUGUGGUCCGCACCGGAUUCGGGUAGGCCGCUCGAGGCCUGCGGUGACGCAGGUCCCAGAUGAAUGACCGCCCCGGCGGCGCGAGCCGCCGAGACAGAACCCGGCUUAUCGGCCGACUCCACCU